rnacentral:rRNA from 1 species
GACGUAGGGCGCGAGCGUUGUCCGGAUUUAUUGGGCGUAAAGAGCUCGUAGGCGGCUUGUUACGUCGACUGUGAAAACCCGCAGCUUAACUGCGGGCUUGCGGUUGAUACGGGCGGGCUAGAGUUCGGUAGGGGAGACGUGGAAUUCCUGGUGUAGCGGUGAAAUGCGCAGAUAUCAGGAGGAACACCGGUGGCGAAGGCGAGUCUCGUGGCGAUACUGACGCUGAGGAGCGAAAGCGUGGGGAGCGAACAGG